rnacentral:rRNA from 1 species
GACGAACGCUGGCGGCGUGCUUAACACAUGCAAGUCGAACGGAAAGGCCCCUUUGGUGGUACUCGAGUGGCGGACGGGCGGGUAACACGUGAGUAACCUGCCCUUGGCUCCGGGAUAACGUCAGGAAACUGGGGCCAUUACCUGAUAGGAAUCCUUGCUGCAUGGUGGGGGUUGGAAAGCUUCGGCGGUCUUGCAUGUACUGGGGCCGUAGUAGCUUGUUGGUGGGGUAGUGGCUUACCAAGGCGUUGACGGGUAGCCGGCCUGAGAGGGUGACCAGCCACACUGGGACUGAGACACGGUCCAGACACCUACGGGAGGCAGCAGUGGGGAAUAUUGGACAAUGGGCGCAAGCCUGAUCCAGCCAUACCGCGUGGGUGAAGAAGGCCUUCGGGUUGUAAAGCCCUUUUGUUGGGAAAGAAAUCGUUCAGGCGAAGACCCUGGGAGGAUGACGGUACCCAAAGAAUAAGCACCGGCUAACUUCGUG